rnacentral:rRNA from 1 species
GAUGAACGCUGGCGGCGUGCCUAAUACAUGCAAGUCGAACGAGGUGCUUUUGUAGCAAUACGAAAGUAUCCUAGUGGCGAACGGGUGAGUAACGCGUGGGUGACCUGCCCCAAAGUGUGGGAUAACAGAUCGAAAGAUCUGCUAAUACCGCAUGUGGUUUCCGGGUUUAGAAACCGGUAACUAAAGGAGUAAUCCGCUUUGGGAGGGACCUGCGUCCCAUCAGCUAGUUGGUGAGGUAACGGCUCACCAAGGCGACGACGGGUAGGGGACCUGAGAGGGUCGGCCCCCCACAAUGGAACUGAAACACGGUCCAUACACCUACGGGUGGCUG